rnacentral:rRNA from 1 species
UACGGAGGGUGCAAGCGUUGUCCGGAUUUAUUGGGUUUAAAGGGUGCGUAGGUGGCUUGUUAAGUCCGGGGUGAAAGCCCACAGCUCAACUGUGGAACUGCCCUGGAUACUGGCGAGCUUGAGUCCAGACGAGGUUGGCGGAAUGGAAGCUGUAGCGGUGAAAUGCAUAGUUAGCUUCCAGAACCCCGAUUGCGUAGGCAGCUGACUAGGCUGGUACUGACACUGAGGCACGAAAGCGUGGGGAGCGAACAGG